rnacentral:misc_RNA from 1 species
AAGUCGUAACAAGGUAACCGUAGGUGAACCUGCGGUUGGAUCAUUAUCUAUCUUGGGGUGUUGCUGUGAGCAGGCGCCGUCAGGCGACUGUGAUCAGCAACUUCCUUUACCAAAAACACACACUCUUUGUGCAAUGUUGUUGAUGUUUGGGGGGUUGGUUAUCCUUUGCUUUUGCUGCAAUAGCACAAGAGACUCCCAACGCAUGCAAUACAAACUCCAAUUGUAAGCAAAACCCAUCUGAAUGAAUUGAAAGUCAUUGACUUGCUUGCGCAAGCCAACGACUCGACAAUCCAAAACAACUUUUGACAACGGAUCUCUUGGCUCUC